rnacentral:rRNA from 1 species
GAUGAACGCUGGCGGCGUGCCUAAUACAUGCAAGUCGAGCGAACAGACGAGGAGCUUGCUCCUCUGACGUUAGCGGCGGACGGGUGAGUAACACGUGGAUAACCUACCUAUAAGACUGGGAUAACUUCGGGAAACCGGAGCUAAUACCGGAUAAUAUAUUGAACCGCAUGGUUCAAUAGUGAAAGACGGUUUUGCUGUCACUUAUAGAUGGAUCCGCGCCGCAUUAGCUAGUUGGUAAGGUAACGGCUUACCAAGGCAACGAUGCGUAGCCGACCUGAGAGGGGGAUCGGCCACACUGGAACUGAGACACGGUCCAGACGCCUACGGGAGGCAGCAGUAGGGAAUCUUCCGCAAUGGGCGAAAGCCUGACGGAGCAACGCCGCGUGAGUGAUGAAGGUCUUCGGAUCGUAAAACUCUGUUAUUAGGGAAGAACAAAUGUGUAAGUAACUAUGCACGUCUGGACGGUACCUAAUCAGAAAGCCACGGCUAACUACGU